GAGAUUUGUAGAUUUGAAGGGUUUAUCACUAUCAAGAAGACAGAAGUAUCCCUGCUGUAAGGCCAGAUCAACAGCACUGCUGGCCUUGCCUUUGUGUCAGCUGCCACCACAGUACUGGCAGUGGGCAUCCUGUAGGGAGGCCCACAAGGGG